GUCGGUUACUUUGUGCGGGGAGAAUAAUUUUACACAGAUGGAACGUGUCGAUAGCAGUCCUCGUUAGGCGUCCGUUUCAAAGUAAAACUUGCAAUUUCCAAAUUAAAAGCCUCCC